CUGAGUUGGAAGGGACCCAUCAGGAUCAUCGAGUCCAACUUCUGACCCUGCAUAGGUCACCCCAAGAAUCACACCAGGUGCGUGAGAGUAUCGUCCAAACAAUUCUUGAACUCAGACAUGCUUAGUGCUGCUGUGCCCACUGGCCU